rnacentral:lncRNA from 1 species
GAGAUAUAGAGAUAUAGAGAUAGAGAGAGAGACACACACACACACACCUUCCUCUCUCCAUGUUCCAAAUUAUGAAACUGGCAGGAGGUUUUCAGUAGGAGGGAGGAAGCACACUCUGGUUCUACUCCCUGUAUUAUCCUCCCUCUCUUCUCUCUUUUUCCUCUCUUAUCUCCUCUCUCUUUUCCACUCUCCUCUCUGUGCUGGUGGAGAAGGGCCUUUGAUGUUGCUUCUUCUGAGGGACCAAGGGAGAGAUAUGGGGGUGGAGGGGAAGAGGGACUGCCUGGGGUUCAUGCCGACCCUGCAUGCUUUCAACAUCAAUAGUGCAGUUUUAUUGGUGUGUGUGAUAUGACCAAUGACUAACAGCUGAGAUGAUUUAAGCAGCUUUGGGAAUAUAUCUUUUGUCAUCCAGCACUGCCACUGCUAGUCUCCUGAGGAAAUUCACAAACUUUUCAUUCAACCCGUUUAGCACAGACUAAACUGACAAAGACAUGGACGGAGCAGGACCAAAUAAAAGCUAAACAGUACUUUAAAAUAUAGUUUGAAAAUGCAUAUUAUGGCAAAUAAUGUAUUGUGCAUCAAUUUAUUUCAUUUUGCCUCUCAGUUUAGCACAAACAUAUCUGACAAAGACACGCUCAAAGACUCUACAUUUUGAGGCAAAUGGUAUCAUGUGAAAUAUUGUUGUUUUGAUGUUAUACAGAACUAUUUCACUUGUUAUUGGUUGUAUGCUGAAAGACUUGAUGUUAGUGGAUAUAUUGAUGGCUAUCACAAAUGUUGUGAUUUUACGUUGGAGCAAAAAUAAACUAGCCUACUUUUCAAGAAUCGCUGAUGUUCAAUUCUCAAUGGCUGACGCUCUCUUUCAACCUAUCUUGUGAAUUGAAAUAAUGAGUAAUAAAGUUGAUUUUGGUUGGUUUCUGUGUAGCAGGUAGAACGUCACAUUGAUGGCACAUUGAUGACGACGCAUGCAGUGGAGCAGAAGUGUUAUCCCCUAAAUUAUUUCUAAUAUUUUCCAAUAAUUGGUUUACGGGACUGUGAACGCCCAACGGUUGGGAGUGGCAGCGCUGUGGCCUAUGUUGUAUUUUGGUUUGAAGUUGACACAGGGUUUUAACGUGGAAAACAAUAUAAUAGAACAUAAUGUGAAAAUGUGCAAACGAUUGUAAAUGUUUUAUAAUCAUUCAUAAAAUAUCAAAGUCUCAAGUUUUUACUUUUGUAAUAAAGUAGCACCUUAAAACGUG